GACAGAGGCCUCGAGCGUUAGGCGGAAUCACUGGGCGUAAAGCGCACGUAGGCGGAUUGUUAAGUCAGGGGUGAAAUCCUGGAGCUCAACUCCAGAACUGCCUUUGAUACUGGCGAUCUCGAGUCCGGGAGAGGUGAAUGGAACUGCGAGUGUAGAGGUGAAAUUCGUAGAUAUUCGCAAGAACACCAGUGGCGAAGGCGGCUCACUGGCCCGGUACUGACGCUGAGGUGCGAAAGCGUGGGGAGCAAACAGG
rnacentral:rRNA from 1 species